GUACCAGCCAAUUUUUAUAAUGAGGAACUAGUUCAUCUUGACUUAUCAUGGAGUAACAUCAACCUAGCUUGGAAUGAUAGACCUCAAAAUAAUAUAAAGCGGUUUCAAAAAUUGAAGGUUCUUAUUCUCCGUGGCUGUCAUCAACUCUCAGACUCUACCGACUUCUUCUCAUGGUUUCCGUGUUUACAAAGAUUGGAUCUCUCGAGCU